GACGAACGCUGGCGGCGUGCUUAACACAUGCAAGUCGAACGGAAAGGCCCUGCUUUUGUGGGGUGCUCGAGUGGCGAACGGGUGAGUAACACGUGAGUAACCUGCCCUUGACUUUGGGAUAACUUCAGGAAACUGGGGCUAAUACCGGAUAGGAGCUCCUGCUGCAUGGUGGGGGUUGGAAAGUUUCGGCGGUUGGGGAUGGACUCGCGGCUUAUCAGCUUGUUGGUGGGGUAGUGGCUUACCAAGGCUUUGACGGGUAGCCGGCCUGAGAGGGUGACCGGCGACACUGGGACUGAGGUACGGCCCAGACGCCAACGGGAGGCAGAAGUGGGGAAUAUUGCACAAUGGGCGGAAGCCUGAUGCAGCAACGCCGCGUGCGGGAUGACGGCCUUCGGGUUGUAAACCGCUUUCGCCUGUGACGAAGCGUGAGUGACGGUAAUGGGUAAAGAAGCACCGGCUAACUACGUG
rnacentral:rRNA from 1 species